rnacentral:rRNA from 1 species
AGAGUUUGAUCCUUGAGAGUUUGAUCCUGGCUCAGAUUGAACGCUGGCGGCAGGCCUAACACAUGCAAGUCGAGCGGAUGAAGAUAGCUUGCUCCUCGAUUCAGCGGCGGACGGGUGAGUAACGCCUAGGUAUGUGCCUGGUAGUUGGGGAUAACGUCCGGAAACGGGCGCUAAUACCGCAUACGUCAUGAGUGAGAAAGUGGGGGAUCUUUGGACCUCCCGUUAUCAGAUGAGCCUAGUUCCGAUUAGUUAGUUGGUGGGGUAAAGGCCUACCAAGGAGAGGAUCGGUAACUGCUUGGAGAGGAUGUUCAGUCCCACUGGAAUUGAGCCCCGGUCCAGAUUCUUACGGGAGGCACCAGUGGGGAUUAUUGGCCAAUGGGGGAAAUCCUGAUCCACCCAUGCCGCGGGUGUGAAGAAGGUUUUGGGUUUGUAAAGCACUUUAAGAUGGGAGGAAGGGCAGUAAGUUAAUACCUUGGUGUUUUGACGUUACCAACAGAAUAAGCACCGGCUAACUUCGUGCCAGCAGCCGCGGUAAUACGAAGGGUGCAAGCGUUAUUCGGAAUUACUGGGCGUAAAGCGCGCGUAGGUGGUUCAGCAAGUUGGAUGUGAAAUCCCCGGGCUCAACCUGGGAACUGCAUCCAAAACUGGUGAGCUAGAGUGCGGUAGAGGGAGGUGGAAUUUCAUGUGUAGCGGUGAAAUGCGUAGAUAUAGGAAGGAACACCAGUGGCGAAGGCGACCACCUGGACUGAUACUGACACGAGCGCAAAUAUUUUAAAUU